rnacentral:rRNA from 1 species
UACGUAGGGGGCAAGCGUUGUCCGGAAUUAUUGGGCGUAAAGGGUGUGUAGGUGGCGCGCUAAGUCGGGUGUGAAAUUUCGGAGCUUAACUCCGAAACUGCAUUCGAUACUGGCGUGCUUGAGGACUGGAGAGGAGACUGGAAUUCAUGGUGUAGCAGUGAAAUGCGUAGAUAUCGAGAGGAACACCUGCGGCGAAGGCGGGUUGCUGGGCUGACACUGACGCUGAUGCGCGAAAGCUAGGGGAGCGAACGGG